rnacentral:rRNA from 1 species
CGCAAGGGGGAGCCAAUCGCAAAAAGCCGGUCUCAGUUCGGAUUGGAGUUGCAACUCGACUCCAUGAAGUUGGAAUCGCUAGUAAUCGCAGAUCAGCACGCUGCGGUGAAUACGUUCCCGGGUCUUGUACACACCGCCCGUCACAUCACGAAAGUGGGUUGUACUAGAAGCGCCAGCGCUAACCCGCAAGGGAGGCAUGGUGUAACGGUAUGAUCCAUGAUUGGGGUGAAGUCGUAACAAGGUAACC